rnacentral:rRNA from 1 species
AGAGUUUGAUCCUGGCUCAGGAUGAACGCUGGCGGCGUGCCUAACACAUGCAAGUCGAACGAAGCAUUUACGGAUGAACCCUUCGGGGGGAUUUUGUUUAUGACUGAGUGGCGGACGGGUGAGUAACGCGUGGGGGACCUGCCUCUGCCAGGGGGAUAACAGUUAGAAAUGACUGCUAAUACCGCAUAAGCGCACAGAACCGCAUGGUUCGGUGUGAAAAGCCGAGACGGACAGAGAUGGACCCGCGUCUGAUUAGGUAGUUGGUGAGGUAACGGCCCACCAAGCCGACGAUCAGUAGCCGACCUGAGAGGGUGACCGGCCACAUUGGGACUGAGACACGGCCCAAACUCCUACGGGAGGCAGCAGUGGGGAAUAUUGCACAAUGGGGGAAACCCUGAUGCAGCGACGCCGCGUGAAGGAAGAAGUAUUUCGGUACGUAAACUUCUAUCAGCAGGGAAGAAAAUGACGGUACCUGAGUAAGAAGCUCCGGCUAAAUACGUGCCAGCAGCCGCGGUAAUACGUAUGGAGCAAGCGUUAUCCGGAUUUACUGGGUGUAAAGGGAGCGUAGGCGGCGAUGCAAGUCAGAGGUGAAAGCCCGGGGCUCAACUCCGGGACUGCCUUUGAAACUGUAUGGCUGGAUUGCAGGAGAGGUAAGUGGAAUUCCUAGUGUAGCGGUGAAAUGCGUAGAUAUUAGGAGGAACACCAGUGGCGAAGGCGGCUUACUGGACUGUAAAUGACGCUGAGGCUCGAAAGCGUGGGGAGCAAACAGGAUUAGAUACCCUGGUAGUCCACGCGGUAAA